UUUACUGACAAAGCUUUCUGCACCAGUUGAAUGAUCCUGCACUUGAUUAUUAUGCUGGUGGUGAAAUGGCCUACCAAGACUGUGAUCCCUACCUGAUUUGAGAUGAUGAUCAGACUCGUUGGGACUGACACACGCCCCAAACUCCUACCGCAGGCCGCACUGCUGAAUCUUGCACAACGGAGGAAACUCUGAUGCCGCAAUACCCCCUGAUUGAACAAUGCCUUUGGAUUGAAAAACUCUUUCGUCUUGGAAAAAAAUGACUGCACCCAAAAAAAAAAGUGCGGCUAACUUCGUGCCACCAGCCGCCUUCAUGCCAACGGACCUAGCAUAACUCAGAAUUACUGGGCUUAUAGAAUUCGCAGGUGGUUGAAAAAGCUGGUGGGGAAAUCCCAGAUCUUAACUCUGGAACUGACCUCAACUCUUUUCCUCUCGUCUAUGAUUUACGAAAGUAGAAUUUCUAGUGUAAAGGUGAAAUUCGUAGAUAUUAUAAAGAAUACCAAUUGCAAAAGCAGCUUUCUGGAUCAUUACUGACACUGAGGAACUUACUCAUGCUUAGCAAAGAGGAUUAGAUACCCUCAUAGUCCUUGCCACACACGAUGUCUGUUACACGUUGGAAAUUUAUU
rnacentral:rRNA from 1 species